rnacentral:rRNA from 1 species
CCUACGGGUGGCAGCAGUGGGGAAUAUUGCACAAUGGGGGAAACCCUGAUGCAGCGACGCCGCGUGAGUGAAGAAGUAAUUCGUUAUGUAAAGCUCUAUCAGCAGGGAAGAAAAUGACGGUACCUGAGUAAGAAGCCCCGGCUAAAUACGGGCCCUCAGCCGAGGGAAAAAGGAGGGUACGGGGGUUAAUCGGAAUUACUGGGCGUAAAGCGUUAGUAGGCGGUAUGUAAAGUCAAGGUGGAAAUCCCAGCGCUCAACGUGGGAACUGCCUUUAAAACUGGCAAACUGGAGUGUGUGAGAGGCUAGUGGAAUUCCAGGUGUAGGAGUGAAAUCCGUAGAUAUCUGGAGGAACAUCAGUGGCGAAGGCGACUAUCUGGCACAUAACUGACGCUGAGGAGCGAAAGCGUGGGUAGCAAACAGGAUUAGAUACCCGUGUAGUC